GUUUACCGCUACAUAUUUAGUUGAGGGACGGUACAGUUCAUAGUUCAAUGAGUCGAGCGGCAGGUGCUCACAGAUCUCCGCUAUUUAAUGUAUCAAUUAUUGACGAAAGAACCUCUUUUCACGACAAGCGGCCAACGAGUUCUCACGGCGUUAACAAGGCAUGAGUGGCGGGACCAAAGGUGGAAGCAACAACAAUAAACGCCCGUUCCAAAGAA